rnacentral:tRNA from 1 species
GGGGAUGUAAGCUUAAUUGGUAAACUGAGGGACUCCAAAUCCCUUAUUCCAGGUUCGAAUCCUGGCAUCCCCGCCA